CUCUGAUUAGGGGCCAGAAUUGGCACCACAGCCUUUUAACAGCAGGAUUGAGCCCCCUGUGAGAUGGUGCUGAGAGGAAGUGGGAGCAGAGCUACGAUACGACUGUAUCUGUGUCGCUAUGUUUAUGUAUCUGUGUUUGUGUCUAUGUGUGUGGCGGAACCAACCUCGCCACUAUGCACUGGAGAAGCCUGGUUGCUCGCCUGCUCCCUUUAGACUAUGGCCCUGCAGUUCAGAC